AGUGAACGCUGGCGGUAUGCCUAACACAUGCGAGUCGAACGGCAACACAGUAAGAUCUUGCCCUUACGGGUGGCGAGUGGCGGACGGGUGAGGCAUACAUCGGAAUCUACUUUUUCGGGGGUGAUAACGUAGGGAAACUUACGCUAAUACCGCAUACGACCUACGGGUGAAAUCAGGAGAGCUUGGUACCUUUCGCGACUCUAUUAGCCGAUCCCGGAUUAGCUAGUUGGCGAGGUAAAGGCCCACCAAGGCGACGAUCCGUAGCUGAUCUGAGAGGAUGAUCGGCCACACGGGAACUGAGACACGGUCCAGACUCCUACGGGGGGCAGCAGUAGGGAAUCUUCCGCAAUGGGCGAAAGCCUGACGGAGCAACGCCGCGUGAGUGAUGAAGGGUUUCGGCUCGUAAAACUCUGUUAUUAGGGAAGAACAAACGUGUAAGUAACUGUGCACGUCUUGACGGUACCUAAUCAGAAAGCCACGGCUAACUACGUG
rnacentral:rRNA from 1 species